GCACAAUGUGAGAGGCAAGGAUUCACAGGAUCACAGAAUCAUCUAGGUUGGAAGAGACGUCCAAGAUCACUGAGUCCAACCUCUGACCUAAGACUAACAGUUCUCCACUAAACCUUAUCACUAAGCUC